CCGGGUUGCGGACAGUGUCUGGUGGGUAGUUUGACUGGGGCGGUCUCCUCCUAAAGCGUAACGGAGGAGCACGAAGGUUAGCUAAUCCUGGUCGGACAUCAGGAGGUUAGUGCAAUGGCAUAAGCUAGCUUGACUGCGAGCGUGACGGCGCGAGCAGGUGCGAAAGCAGGUCAUAGUGAUCCGGUGGUUCUGAAUGGAAGGGCCAUCGCUCAACGGAUAAAAGGUACUCCGGGGAUAACAGGCUGAUACCGCCCAAGAGUUCAUAUCGACGGCGGUGUUUGGCACCUCGAUGUCGGCUCAUCACAUCCUGGGGCUGAAGUAGGUCCCAAGGGUAUGGCUGUUCGCCAUUUAAAGUGGUACGCGAGCUGGGUUUAGAACGUCGUGAGACAGUUCGGUCCCUAUCUGCCGUGGGCGCUGGAGAAUUGAGGGGGGCUGCUCCUAGUACGAGAGGACCGGAGUGGACGCAUCACUGGUGUUCGGGUUGUCAUGCCAAUGGCAUUGCCCGGUAGCUAAAUGCGGAAGAGAUAAGUGCUGAAAGCAUCUAAGCACGAAACUUGCCCCGAGAUGAGUUCUCCCUGACCCUUUAAGGGUCCUGAAGGAACGUUGAAGACGACGACGUUGAUAGGCCGGGUGUGUAAGCGCAGCGAUGCGUUGAGCUAACCGGUACUAAUGAACCGUGAGGCUUAACCUU
rnacentral:rRNA from 1 species